rnacentral:rRNA from 1 species
GAUGAACGCUGGCGGCGUGCUUAACACAUGCAAGUCGAACGAUGAAGCCCAGCUUGCUGGGUGGAUUAGUGGCGAACGGGUGAGUAACACGUGAGUAACCUGCCCUUAACUCUGGGAUAAGCCUGGGAAACUGGGUCUAAUACCGGAUAGGAGCGUCCACCGCAUGGUGGGUGUUGGAAAGAUUUAUCGGUUUUGGAUGGACUCGCGGCCUAUCAGCUUGUUGGUGAGGUAAUGGCUCACCAAGGCGACGACGGGUAGCCGGCCUGAGAGGGUGACCGGCCACACUGGGACUGCGACACGGCCCAGACUCCUACGGGAGGCAGCAGUGGGGAAUAUUGCACAAUGGGCGCAAGCCUGAUGCAGCGACGCCGCGUGAGGGAUGACGGCCUUCGGGUUGUAAACCUCUUUCAGUAGGGAAGAAGCGAAAGUGACGGUACCUGCAGAAGAAGCACCGGCUAACUACGUG